GAUGAACGCUGGCGGCGUGCCUAAUACAUGCAAGUCGAGCGAACGGACGAGAAGCUUGCUUUUCUGAUGUUAGCGGCGGACGGGUGAGUAACACGUGGAUAACCUACCUAUAAGACUGGGAUAACUUCGGGAAACCGGAGCUAAUACCGGAUAAUAUUUUGAACCGCAUGGUUCAAAAGUGAAAGACGGUCUUGCUGUCACUUAUGGAUGGAUCCGCGCUGCAUUAGCUAGUUGGUAAGGUAACGGCUUACCAAGGCAACGAUGCAUAGCCGACCUGAGAGGGUGAUCGGCCACACUGGAACUGAGACACGGUCCAGACUCCUACGGGAGGCAGCAGUAGGGAAUCUUCCGCAAUGGGCGAAAGCCUGACGGAGCAACGCCGCGUGAGUGAUGAAGGUCUUCGGAUCGUAAAACUCUGUUAGUAGGGAAGAACAUAUGUGUAAGUAACUGUGCACAUCUUGACGGUACCUAAUCAGAAAGCCACGGCUAACUACGUG
rnacentral:rRNA from 1 species